ensembl:lncRNA
AUCCAGAUACUCUAUGAAUCUAGGUACUUACUGCAUCCAGAUACUCCUUACAUCCAGGUACUCUCCUCCAUUGAGAUACUCCCUAUAUCUGGAUACUCCCUGCAUCCAGAUGUUCCCUUUCAUCCAAAUACUGUCUUCCAUCCAGAUACUCCCUUUCAUCCAAUUACUCCCUUCCAUCUAGAUACUCUCCUUCAUCCAAAUACUCCCAUCCAGUUACUCUCCUCUAUCCACAAACUCUCUUCCAGAUACUCUUCUUCAUCCAGAUACUCCCUUGUAUCCAGGUAUUCCCUGCAUCCAGAUGCCCCCUGCAUCCAGAUACUCCCAUCCAGGUACUCCCAUUCCGUUACUCUCCUGUACCACAUACAUACUCCCUUCCUUCUAGAUACUCUCCUCCAUCCAGAUACUCCCUUUCAUCUAGAUACUUUCUUCCAUCCAGUUACUCUCUUAUAUCCAUGUAUGCUUUUCCUUCCACACACCCCCUUCCAGAUACUUUCCUCCAUCUGGAUACUCCCUUCUAUCCAGAUACUCCCUCCCAUGCAGUUACUCUCCUCCAUCCAGAUAUUCCCUCGUAUCCAGGUACUCCCUGCAUCCAGAUGUUCCAUGCAUCCAGAUAUUCUCUGUAUCCAGCUACCCCCUGUAUCCAGGUACCCUCUGAGUCCAGAUACUCCCUGCUUCCAGAUACUUCCCUGCAUCCAGAUUGACAUCACCUGGUGCAUGCCUGAUUAAUCUGCACCUUCCCGGGCGUCAGCUGCAUUCUCGCACACAUGGGAAGAGUUGGUGGUGAAGAAGAACCCGAAAGUGCACCAUCCUGCCUCCGUUGGUCCAAACACUUCAUACAUAGAUUUUGGUAGAUUUUCUUCUUUCUGUUAUGGAAAAUCUGAUUGGCUAAAGUUUUCUGGGUAUGGGGUGUGUGUGUGUGUGUGUCUGUGUGUGUUUUAGAGGGGGCAAAGGGUUUUUGUUUCUGUCUAAUGGAGAGAUAUUUGUAUUUAUUUAUUUAGAGAUGGAGUCUCACUGUGUCGCCCAGGCUGGAGUGCAGUGGCACGAUCUUGGCUCACUGCAACCUCCACCUCCCAAGUUCAAGCGAUUCUCCUGCCUCAGCCUCCUGAGUAGCUGGAAUUACACGCAUACACCACCAUGCCUGGAUAAUUUUUGUAUAUUUAGUAGAGAUGGGGUUUCACCAUGUUGACCAGGCAGGUCUCAAACUCCUGACUUCAAGUGAUCUGCCCGCCUUGGCCUCCCAAAGUGCUGGGAUUACAGGCAUGAGCCUCUGUACCGGGCCAGGAAAUGAAUUAAAAAAAAAAAAAAACUGUCUGUAUUUCUACUUCUUCAUUGGAAAGUCAUUCAUACUUACUUAAGUUUUCAAAUAUCACAGUGCAGAUAAGAGCAAAGUAAUUGUUUAUAAUCCUUCCACGUCCUCCAAGUAUAUGGAGAAGCUCGCAUUCUUCUUAUUUGGUGCUGUCAUUAUUUUAGUUGGUUAUCUUUGUCAAUUUUAGUUUUCUCAAAUAAUGUUUAAAUUAUGUGACAAAUCAUUUCUCAAUUUUUAAUGCAUCUCCACCUGCUUUUCUGGGGUUUAAUGUGAUAUCCACCUCCCCACAGGAUGGCUUCUUGAGUUGAAUGUUCGUUCCAUUAUUUUCAUUCUUUCUUGCUUAACGUUGUCAGCACGUGAGAUUCUAACUUUUCAUCUGCGUGCUGCAAGCCCUCAGGUUCUUUCAUGGAGAGUUUGUGU